rnacentral:rRNA from 1 species
GUGGAUUAGAUACCCUGGUAGUCCACGCCGUAAACGUUGGGCACUAGGUGUGGGACUCUAUCGACGGGUUCCGUGCCGUAGCUAACGCAUUAAGUGCCCCGCCUGGGGAGUACGGCCGCAAGGCUAAAACUCAAAGGAAUUGACGGGGGCCCGCACAAGCGGCGGAGCAUGUGGCUUAAUUCGAUGCAACGCGAAGAACCUUACCUGGGUUUGACAUGUAGGGAAAAGCCGUAGAGAUACGGUGUCCUUCGGGGUCCUACACAGGUGGUGCACGGCCGUCGCCAACU